GUGACAUCGCCUUUCUCUCUGUCCCCGCAGGGUGCUGAGCCGUGGGGAUGCAGCCAGGGACAGGAUCAGUGCCGGGACCCUGAUUGGAGCAGAGCGCGGUGAAUGGCAGCCCCAGAGGGACGCGCUUGGACCAUGGAGCUGCACCGCGUGACCCAGGUGAUGCUGGAGGUGCUGGCGUGCGUCGUCCUGGCCUACCACCUGUCCGAGGCCAACGUCUUCUUCUUCUACCUGCUGCUGCUCCUGCCCCUCAUCUUCCUCUUUGAGGAGAGCGUCGAGCCAUGAGGAUGCCCGUGGUCCCUCUCUCGCUGUGCAGUAAAGAGCCGUGCCCACC